AUUGAACGCUGGCGGCAGGCUUAACACAUGCAAGUCGAGCGGAGAUGAGGUGCUUGCACCUUAUCUUAGCGGCGGACGGGUGAGUAAUGCUUAGGAAUCUGCCUAUUAGUGGGGGACAACAUUCCGAAAGGAAUGCUAAUACCGCAUACGUCCUACGGGAGAAAGCAGGGGACCUUCGGGCCUUGCGCUAAUAGAUGAGCCUAAGUCGGAUUAGCUAGUUGAUGGGGUAAAGGCCUACCAAGGCGACGAUCUGUAGCGGGUCUGAGAGGAUGAUCCGCCACACUGGGACUGAGACACGGCCCAGACUCCUACGGGAGGCAGCAGUGGGGAAUAUUGGACAAUGGGCGGAAGCCUGAUCCAGCCAUGCCGCGUGUGUGAAGAAGGCCUUUUGGUUGUAAAGCACUUCAAGCGAGGAGGAGGCUACUUAGAUUAAUACUCUAGGAUAGUGGACGUUACUCGCAGAAUAAGCACCGGCUAACUCUGUGCCAGCAGCCGCCGUAAUAC
rnacentral:rRNA from 1 species